UUCCCUGUGUUUAAAUUUUAGCCGAGGCUUACAUUAAAGUCAAAGAUUAAAUAUUUGAUUAAAAAACAAUGUCACUGUUUUGUAUCAGGGGGCGUGUUCGUUCAUUUUGAAUGUCUCGUGACGUCUCCACCGCUCCCCCGUCCGCUCUAGAGGUUGUCAGCUUCCUCGGGAGAACAGUUGGCGCAGGCGCGGCACUGACGGCUGCUGUAUACUUACUCCGCAAAGUGUGUUUAAUAAUGGCCUGGAAAUCUGGAGGAGCCAGCCACGCAGAGCUUGUUAACAACCUCCGCAAAAAUGGAAUUAUUAAGUCCGACAAGGUCUAUGAAGUCAUGCUGGCCACAGACCGAGCCCACUUCUCUCGGUGUAAUCCGUACAUGGACUCGCCGCAGUCAAUAGGCUAUCAAGCAACCAUCAGCGCCCCACACAUGCACGCCUACGCCCUGGAGCUUCUACACGAGCAGCUGUACGAGGGAGCCAAAGCUUUGGACGUCGGCUCCGGCAGUGGAAUCCUGUCCGUCUGCUUCGCACGAAUGGUUGGAGCGAAAGGGAAAGUUAUAGGAAUUGAUCACAUCAAGGAGCUGGUAGAUGAGUCUGUAACUAAUGUGAAGAAAGAUGACCCCAGCUUGAUAACAUCGGGCAGAGUCACGCUAUUAGUGGGAGACGGGCGGAUGGGCCACACUGAGGAAGCACCUUAUGACGCCAUCCAUGUUGGCGCAGCAGCACCCAAUGUCCCCCAAGCGCUUCUGGACCAGCUGAAGCCCGGCGGUCGGCUGAUUCUGCCCGUUGGCCCGGCGGGAGGGAACCAGAUGCUGGAGCAGUACGACAAGUUGGAGGACGGCAGCACCAAAAUGAAGCCCUUGAUGGGAGUGAUUUAUGUGCCUUUAACAGACAAAGACAAGCAGUGGUCCAGGUGGAAGUGACUUCUUUCUCUCUCCCCCCCCCAUCUCCUCCUCUCACUCUCUCCUUCUCACAGUGGCAAAAAGGGAUGAACUCUGAAGAGGAAGACGGUCCAUAAUCCACCUUUAAGUUUGAACCUGGAGAGAACUUGGAUGGGGUCAAACAGCCCAUGGCAUUUUGUUCAAAGCAUAACAAAACAUGCUCUUUUUGUUUAAGUCUAACGAUGGACUAGAGUGUCAUUGUUGACCGCCAGAGGCGCUGGGAAGAAAGACUGCUUGAAGCUCCGCACAGAAAUAUCGGAGAGGACAUUUUGUUUUUUGUUCAGGCCUGCAUUCUUUUGGUUGUGUAUACUUUUUAACUGCUGGAUUUUAGGGUUUGAUUUUGAUUUUUUUUUUGUGGUUUUACCAUUUUAAAUGCAAUCAGCAGUUUUUACAAUGUUACAUUUCAGCAGCAUCAAAGCUGAAUGUAGGAGGAACACAGGACAACGACGAGGAAAGCCUGGAUCCUUUAGAUAACUCACCUAGCUACUGUGUGUGUGUGUGUGUGUGCGCGCAUGUGUGUGUAACAUCUAACCGUAGACUUCUCUGCUAACAUAUGAGCUGCCAGCAGUACACACAGGCAACACAAUGGCUGACCCACACAACCCGUUUCAUGUGCAGCACUCUUACGUCAUUCUACACAUAGAAUAAGCAACGCAUUGGAUCACACCGAACAUACUCCAAAGAGAGCUGAGUGCUAACAACACUGAUGCACGUGCACAUACAGGGCUGUGCUUUCCGCUUCCUGCCGCUGGUUUUCCAUCAACGAUUAAACGCAGGCUCUUCUGGCGACUGUUACUAAAUGGGAUAGUCACUGCUUUGCCAAAAUAAACUUCAACAAUAUAAAGCAAAUGAAUGUCUGUUUUCUUUAAAUCGAAAAGCACAUUUUGUUUUGGAUGACGGAUGCUAUUUGGCUGUCACAGUUUCUGGAAUGGCACAUGAAAAUAAAGAGAUGCUUAUGUUUU